AAACAAUAUUUUGUGCCGAUUACAUCGCUGGAAUAAUUUCAACAUUACAAAUUUUUAAAAUUAUAUUUGCCUUACCUUUGCACUUUUAACGCGCUUUUAUAUUUAUUAAUUUAUUUUAUCAAGUAAAUACCAACAAAUCACGCAUAUAUAGUACACAGUGCCGUCAAUCAACAUUUAAAAUUUUAACCAACAUAACGUGUUCCUAAAAAAAUUAGUAACGUGUAGAUGUCGCUAUAAAGUGUAUACAUAUAUUCUUGAUCAGCGACAUCUGCCGAGGCGAUAUAAAAGAUGAGAACGAUAUCGAAGUCGACGAUGCGGGAUGUUUAAAAGUGAAAUAACGAAGCACAAAAUCAAAUGCAGAGAUAUCGCAUAUUACAUUUUUUUGAAAAUUCAAUUAUCCAUGAAGGAUUUUAUUUAACUAUUUUUAAAUGCCCAAUGAAGAGAGUAAAAGUGUUGCCACAAAUUGAAACUUAGAAAUAUCGGUGAUCUAUUACUAAGUGCGGCCAAAAAUGAAAUGCUUUCCAGAUAUUUGAAAAUAUUGUAAAAAAAAGUCGCACAAAAAUAUGCUUCCGAACUGAAGCUGACAAAGCAAAUAGUCAAGGCCGAAAGUGAGCUGAAACUGUCGCAGAAAAGUGAAAAACUUGCCAAAACAAUUGGAAGAACUUCAAGCACAAUUGGAAAACCUGAAGGAAGAACUCAGUGCGCUCUUCUGCUCUUUCAGCUGAAAGAGCAGAAGGUCGCACUCGAACCGGAAAAUAAGG